rnacentral:rRNA from 1 species
GUAGGGAAUCUUCGGCAAUGGGCGAAAGCCUGACCGAGCAACGCCGCGUGAAUGAAGAAGGCCUUCGGGUUGUAAAAUUCUGUUAUAAGGGAAGAAAGGUGAUAGGAGGAAAUGACUAUCAAUUGACGGUACCUUAUGAGAAAGCCACGGCUAACUACGUGCCAGCAGCCGCGGUAAUACGUAGGUGGCAAGCGUUAUCCGGAAUUAUUGGGCGUAAAGAGCGCGCAGGUGGUUAAUUAAGUCUGAUGUGAAAGCCCACGGCUUAACCGUGGAGGGUCAUUGGAAACUGGUUGACUUGAGUGCAGAAGAGGGAAGUGGAAUUCCAUGUGUAGCGGUGAAAUGCGUAGAGAUAUGGAGGAACACCAGUGGCGAAGGCGGCUUCCUGGUCUGCAACUGACACUGAGGCGCGAAAGCGUGGGGAGCAAACAGGAUUAGAAACCCCUGUAGUCC